GGUAAAAUGCAGGUGCGACCUUCACAGACUGACAGAGAUUGAGUGAUAACAGACACUGGAGACCCUCCAGGCGAUGGCUGGUGACCGCCUGCCACCAUCCACAGGCUGUCACACAAGGAGCCCUGGGAGUAACCUUGCUGGAAGCCCCGCGGGCCGCGGUGUGUGGCUGGCGUUAUACAGCCCCCAGCCAUCGCCUGGAGGGCAUCCAGUGUCUGUUAUCACUCACCUCAGGUAGUCUGUGAAGGUCCAGUCAUCACUGGUGCACGUGUAUCUUACCUGUGAUCAACACCGGCAGCCACAGACUCCUGCUCAAGGAACGAACACAGUGAUCGUGAUGACAUUGACAACAACGAGCAAGUCCUCCUAGACCUACAGUGACCUCAAGCUGGGCCAAACAUGAUGUGGAAGUAGAAAUCAUUUGUGUCCCAUCAGUCGGGUUUGUGCCAUGGCAGCUUUCUCCAGCUGUCCGGCAGAGGUCCAGUCCAUGCCAUAGAGAAAUUCAG